rnacentral:rRNA from 1 species
CUCUCCCUCUGUCGGCAGGCCUAACACAUGCAAGUCGAACGAACCUUUCGGGGUUAGUGGCGGACGGGUGAGUAACACGUGGGAACGUGCCUUUAGGUUCGGAAUAACUCAGGGAAACUUGUGCUAAUACCGAAUGUGCCCUUCGGGGGAAAGAUUAAUCGCCUUUAGAGCGGCCCGCGUCUGAUUAGCUAGUUGGUUGAGGUAAUGGCUCACCAAGGCGACGAUCAGUAGCUGGUCUGAGAGGAUGAUCAGCCACAUUGGGACUGAGACACGGCCCAAACUCCUACGGGAGGCAGCAGUGGGGACUCUUGCGCAAUGGGCGAAAGCCUGACGCAGCCAUGCCGCGUGAAUGAUGAAGGUCUUAGGAUUGUAAAAUUCUUUCACCGGGGACGAUAAUGACGGUACCCGGAGAAGAAGCCCCGGCUAACUUCGUG